rnacentral:rRNA from 1 species
AUUGAACGCUGGCGGCAGGACUAACACAUGCAAGUCGAGCGGAGCGGCGGACGGGUGAGUAAUGCCUAGGAAUCUGCAUGGUAGUGGGGGUUAACGUCCGGAAACGGGCGCUAAUACCGCAUACUAUAAGAUGAGCAUAGGUCGGAUUAGCUAGUUGGUGGGGUAAAGGCCUACCAAGGCGACGAGCCGUAACUGGUCUGAGAGGCUGAUCAGUCACACUGGAAUUGAGACACGGUCCCGACUCCUACGGGCGGCAGCAGUGGGGAAUAUUGGACAAUGGGCGAAAGCCGGAUCCAGCCAUGCCGCGUGUGUGAAGAAGGUCUUCGGAUUGUAAAGCACUUUAAGUUGGGAGGCGUUACCAACAGAAUAAGCACCGGCUAACGCCGUGCCAGCAGCCGCGGUAAUAC